ensembl:ncRNA C48D5.4 ncRNA
AAUAGAAUGAAAGUGGACCUGGACUCCGCUGCCGCCAAAAAUUGGAUGGAAUCGGAGGCAAUUAUUAGGCCCUCUUAGGAUAUGUGACAUACACACCGAGAAGUUUUGAUUGAUGACGUGGCACGGGAAACGGAGAAAAAGUUGAAGAU